CUCUGAAGCCGCGGGCUCCGGUGAUGCCGUCGCGGGCUCCGGUGAUGCCGCCUCGGCUGCCGCCAUCUCCAGCCUAUCCCUCCGCGCUAGACUGAGCCCACCGCUGUCCGAGAAUUAUCCUGGUGCUCACAAUUUCAUCCAAAUGACACAAGAUGCACUUUGGCUUCCUGAGACAGAAUCCAGUUGAAUCCAGGCAUCAGAGGAGAGAUGGCCCAGAGUGGACACCUAUCAAUCCAGUGCUGUUUGGCAUGACAGCCACCACCGGUGCAGCCUCGUACCCACAGGCAGCCACUCCCUCACUUCCCCUCAAGACUUCUCAGCCCUCAACAGCCACUGGCCUGCUGCUUUCUGUCCCUAGACUUGACUACCCUGGACCUUUUGGAUAAAUCAAAUCAUACAAUUUUUGUGCGUGUCUGGCAUCUUUGAGUACGUUUUAAAGGUUCGUCCAUGUUGUAGUACAUGUUUGAUUCUUUUUAUUGACAAGUAACAUUCCAUUGCGUGGGUCUAUCACAUUUUAUUUAUUCAUCCACUGAUGGAGAUAGGGUUGUUUUUCCCUUUUGCUAUUCUAAUACUAUGAAUAUCCAUUUACAAGUUUUUGUAUGGCUAUAUGUUGUCAUUCUUAUUAGAUAUGGACCCAGAAGUGGUACUGCUGAGGCAUACGGCAACCCUAUGUUUAACAUUCUUAAGAACUGCAAUGGUGUUUUCCAAAGUGACUGCAUUAUUUCCUACCAGCUGCGUAAGAGGGUCCUAAUUCCCCUGGGUAUUUACCAACACUUACCUUCUCUUUUGUUAUAGCUAUCCCAGUGGAUAGGAAGUGGGUUUUUUGUUUUGGGGUUUUUUUUUUCUUGGAAGUGGUAUUUUUCAUAUUACAGUUUUGAAUUGCAUUUCCCUAAUGAUUGAUGAUGUUGAGCAUUUUUUCAUAUACAUGUUAACUCCUCACAUAUCUUCUUUGGAGAAAUGUCUAUCCAAGUCCUUUGCCCUCUUUUACAUUGGGUUAUUUGUCCUUUAUUAUUGGUCAUUAAUAUAUUCUAGGCACCCAGGAUUUUGUUUUGUGUCUUUUGUUUUUUUGUUUGUUUUGGUACUGGGGAUCAAACUUGGGGCCUUGUGCUUGUG